AAUCAACGCUGGCGGCGUGCCUCAGACAUGCAAGUCGAACGCGAAAGUUCCCUUCGGGGGAUGAGUAGAGUGGCGCACGGGUGAGUAACACGUAGGUAAUCUACCUUCGGAUGGGGAAUAACAACCGGAAACGGUUGCUAAUACCGCAUAAUGCAGCGGCACCUAAUGGUGACAGUUGUUAAAGGCGGGGGAUCGAAAGACCUCGCGUCUGAAGAGGAGCCUGCGGCGGAUUAGCAGUUGGUAGGGUAACGGCCUACCAAGGCUACGAUCCGUAGCCGGCCUGAGAGGGCGGUCGGCCACACUGACACU
rnacentral:rRNA from 1 species